CCAGUAAUAUAAAGUGGACUUACACUGACAGUUGGACUUAAUUCUAUCAAACCUGUUCUGGAUUCCUUCAACCAGAUACCUCAGGGUUCAGAAACUGACGGGACAGUUAGAUUUUCUCUGAUGUGGCUGUGAAUCUCGGUGCUUAUAAGAGUGUAUUUUGGAGUGUUUCCUCACUGCAUUUACUGCCAGGACCUUCAGAGUCCAGUCUCAGCUGGGACCCACACCUUUGUCCAAGUACCCUGUUUCAGCCCAGCUGGUCAACACUGCACUGUGGAAUUGUAUUACUAGAACUGAAAAAAUCACUUCACUAUUAUAAGGAAAAGGGGCUUGGAAAUGCUUGCCUAAGAAGCCGUAUCAGGGUACCAAAUUUGUUCAAAAUACAUUCUUAAUAGCUUAAUCACUCUCCAAAGUAGAGAAGUAGAUUAUUAUACCCAUAAGAUCUGGAAAAAUAGCCAGUGUACUUCAGCUGACAGUGAGAAAGGAAUUGUAUAAGAACUGCAAGUUGAUGUUUUACUCAUAUUAAUAUGUUCAAAUCUACUAAUUACCUUGUGACUUGCUAAGGAAGUUGUGCAGCAUUUUCUUUGUAUUUUGAAUUAAU